rnacentral:rRNA from 1 species
GGGUGGAUUAGUGGCGAACGGGUGAGUAACACGUGGGCAAUCUGCCCUGCACUCUGGGACAAGCCCUGGAAACGGGGUCUAAUACCGGAUACGACACAUCACUGCAUGGUGAAUGUGUGGAAAGCUCCGGCGGUGCAGGAUGAGCCCGCGGCCUAUCAGCUUGUUGGUGGGGUAAUGGCCUACCAAGGCGACGACGGGUAGCCGGCCUGAGAGGGCGACCGGCCACACUGGGACUGAGACACGGCCCAGACUCCUACGGGAGGCAGCAGUGGGGAAUAUUGCACAAUGGGCGAAAGCCUGAUGCAGCGACGCCGCGUGAGGGAUGACGGCCUUCGGGUUGUAAACCUCUUUCAGCAGGGAAGAAGCGCAAGUGACGGUACCUGCAGAAGAAGCACCGGCUAACUACGUGCCAGCAGCCGCGGUAAUACGUAGGGUGCGAGCGUUGUCCGGAAUUAUUGGGCGUAAAGAGCUCGUAGGCGGCUUGUCACGUCGGAUGUGAAAGCCCGGGGCUUAACCCCGGGUCUGCAUUCGAUACGGGCAGGCUAGAGUUCGGUAGGGGAGAUCGGAAUUCCUGGUGUAGCGGUGAAAUGCGCAGAUAUCAGGAGGAACACCGGUGGCGAAGGCGGAUCUCUGGGCCGAUACUGACGCUGAGGAGC